AAACAAAAACUGUAUACGUACGUGUCACCAAGAGCAAACAAAACAAACAGGAGACCGUCCCCGGCCCCUGAGCUGGCAUUCUGUUCCUAAGGCUAAUUUAGUGAGGCUUUUGCCUUAUUUGGGGUUUUUAGUACAUGGAAGUGCUGCUGUGUCUGGCUUCCUGGCGUAAAACUCAAAAACUCAUACAAAACUUAAUUUCCGCUAUUAACUACUUUACUCAGCAGGAUAAAUGAUAAGCACCAAAAAAAAAAGAAGGGGAGGAAAAACUCAGAACAAUUCAUUCAUUUACUAACUGCUCUUAAGCUUGACAGAUAAACAUCAGAGUUUGGCUUUUGGGGAAAACUUUUCCCACGGCAUUCACUGUGGGCAGCAGCUCCUUCUCCUUCGUGGACUCAGGGAUGAGCUGGGGCCAACUCUGUGCCGGGGUCUGGAACGGCCGUGAGGAGGUGAGGCACUGCUCCCGGCCGCUCAGAGGUCAUAACCCGUGAUCAUGCACACAUAGCCUUUACAACCUACAUAUGACCACUCCCCCUUUGCUCUUUCCUGCCUAGAGAGCACCGUCAGGCUGAGAUGCUAACAGAUGGGGUUUUGGAUGUGACCACACUGCAUUAUGGUUUUAAGUGACGGCUUUAACACGUGCGUGUGCCCCCAGGCAAUCUAAUCACCAAAUGGACUGGAUAUGAUACUCCCUCUCCGGUGGCACUGGAGGUGCCCUUCCUGAGCAUUAGGUGUCACUUUAAGACGACUUCUGGCCUCUCCGGGUCACGGCUGCCUACCCCUGAUUCAGAGGAUAAACGGCACGUCAAACAGCCAAAGUAAUUCACUGAAGGAGAUUCCUGAGCUCCUGCUUUUUCCAUACUUACUCAUUUAUUCAUCAUCCGGAAAACAUUUAUCAAGCUUUCCCUUCUUCCCAGGUGGUGUGCGAGUGCUGAGGACUGAAAGAGGGACAGGCACAGCCGUUCCCCUUAAGGGACAAGGCUCUAGAAGUCGUUAGGCCAGAGGGCAGGGACUGAGUGACCCGGGGACGCAGGGACCGAGCUGUGGCAGCAGCAGAGGGCAGAGGUCUUGGGGUGGAGUGGGUGGGAAAUUGAAACACUUCCUGGAGGAAGGGACACACGAGCCACAUCUUCAAGGAGACAAGAGGAGCCAGCAGGAAAGCCGGAAAAGAAGAAAGAAAGAGAAACGCAGGGGCGCUGGGGGCAGCACCUCCAAAGGCAAGGAGCACGUGGGGCAGAGGGACUGGCUUGACGGAGAACGCAAUGCUCAGGAGGGAGCAGGCAUGUAUUUUACAGGGCAUUAAAAUCCUCAUGAGACCGGCACGCAAAUACUUCUGAUUCACUGCUUUCCACUCCGUUUCCGUACCAUCGACUGUAUUCCAAUAUCUCUGGCAGAGCGCUGCUUGAUGAUCUAGCUGAGAUCCUAAGAGGGGCGGAAUCUCCGGGAUGAGGAGGGAGAUGAGCUGCAGGAGGGUGACACCGAGGACACGUGUGGAAAGAAGACAUCUGGGAAUGUGAAGGAGCUGCAGGACCCAAGUGCAGGGGCCUCAACGCCCCAGGGUCCAGGUCACAGGAAAGCAGAGGCGGCUCGGGUGUGAGCCGCAACACGUAAGCUGCGUGUCUCCGUCGCUGCUCUCCGAAGGACCGCUCUGAUGGCCGAUGCAGCGUAAAGACGGCGUGUAAUCACAGAGCACGGACACCCUCUCACUAGGAAAUCAUCUAUUAUCAGGACAGAGGGCUGACCCUGCGAACCCAGAGGGUGCAGUCAAGGUCUUUAAACAGCAAACACACAGACCCUACCUAGGCGCAUACGCUUCGGGAUUCUGGCUUUCAAAGAGCAUUAAAAGUACAACCUUACGGCCCUUUCCGCUAAGCUCUUUCACCUUUGACUAAGUCUGUUGUAAAAAGAUGCUUGAAAAAUACUUGAGGAUGUUCUGUGAGUAAAAUGAGUGUUACUGAAAAACAGUAACUGCCUUUAUUCCCUACUUUCUCCAAAUACCUGACUAUGUAAGAGGAAAAGAAAUAUCCAAAACAAGCAAUUUUACUGACACUCCCUCAAAAAAAGAAGAAAAAAACCCCCCCAGUAAUCCAAUUCAAGUAUAUUGAUCUCCAAAACUAAGAAAUAAGAGAAACCUAAGGGGAAAGAUUUACUAACUAAGCCACCCCUGACAAGCCCAAAUCUAACUCUUCUUUUUCUGAAUAACUAAACAGUAGGAUAUGAAUUACAGGUAUUUUUAACCAAAAUGAA